rnacentral:rRNA from 1 species
UACAGAGGUCCCAAGCGUUGUUCGGAUUCACUGGCGUAAAGGGUGCGUAGGCGGUCGGGUAAGUCUGAUGUGAAAUCUCACAGCUUAACUGUGAAACUGCAUUGGAUACUAUCCGGCUCGAGGAAUGGAGGGGAGACUGGAAUACUUGGUGUAGCAGUGAAAUGCGUAGAUAUCAAGUGGAACACCAGUGGCGAAGGCGAGUCUCUGGACAUUUCCUGACGCUGAGGCACGAAAGCCAGGGGAGCAAACGGG